UAUCUCUGUAGAGUCUGCAUAUCAAUAAGCGGAGGAAAAGAAACUAACUAGGAUUCCCUCAGUAACGGCGAGUGAAGCGGGAAGAGCUCAAAUUUGAAUCUUCAAGGUUUUACCUUGACGAAUUGUAGUUUAAAGAAGUGUUUUCUGUUGGAGUUUUGGUAAAAGUUCUUUGGAAUAGGACAUCAUAGAGGGUGAGAAUCCCGUAUUUGACCAUUAUUUCCAGCUUUGUGAUACACUUUCAAAGAGUCGGAUUGUUUGGGAAUGCAGUCCAAAAUGGGUGGUAAGUUUCAUCUAAAGCUAAAUAUUGGCGAGAGACCGAUAGCGAACAAGUACCGUGAGGGAAAGAUGAAAAGAACUUUGAAAAGAGAGUUAAACAGUACGUGAAAUUGUCAAAAGGGAAGCGUUUGACACCAGUGUUGUUUCUACGAAAAUCAAUUUAUGAUGGCUUGAUGCUAAGCUUUAAGACUUUAUCCGCUUGUUGUUUAGUUUUCUUGUCUUUGUGAAUGCACUUUUCGUGGAACAAGUCAACAUCAAUUUCUUUUGCUGUAAAAGGGUAAGAGGAAGGUGGCUUCGGCUUCGGUUGAAGUGUUUAUAGCCUUUUAUCUCUGCAGUCGGAGAGAUUGAGGUCUGCAGCGUAGACUCUUCGGGGUUAGAUACGUCGGUGCUAAGCUAUAGCUUUUCAUAGACAACUUGUUGACUAUGUUUAGUCAUGUGGCUUACCCGCUGGCGCUAUUUUACCUACGCUUAGGAUGUUGAGUCAUCACACAUCUC
rnacentral:rRNA from 1 species